rnacentral:tRNA from 1 species
GAGACACUAGCUCAGUUGGUAGAGCGCAACCUUGCCAAGGUUGAGGUCACGAGUUCGAACCUCGUGUGUCGCUCCA